UACGUAGGUCCCGAGCGUUGUCCGGAUUUAUUGGGCGUAAAGCGAGCGCAGGUGGUUUAAUAAGUCUGAUGUAAAAGGCAGUGGCUCAACCAUUGUGUGCAUUGGAAACUGUUAGACUUGAGUGCAGUAGAGGAGAGUGGAAUUCCAUGUGUAGCGGUGAAAUGCGUAGAUAUAUGGAGGAACACCGGUGGCGAAAGCGGCUCUCUGGACUGUAACUGACGCUGAGGUGCGAGAGCGUGGGGAGCAAACAGG
rnacentral:rRNA from 1 species